rnacentral:tRNA from 1 species
GCCGGAGUAGCUCAGCUGGAAGAGCAACCGCCUUGUAAGCGGUAGGUCGAGGGUUCGAGUCCCUCCUCCGGCU